rnacentral:rRNA from 1 species
AUUGAGCGCUGGCGGCAUGCUUUACACAUGCAAGUCGAACGGUAACAGGCCUUCGGGUGCUGACGAGUGGCGAACGGGUGAGUAAUGCAUCGGAACGUACCCAGAGGUGGGGGAUAACGCAGCGAAAGCUGUGCUAAUACCGCAUGUGAUCUGAGGAUGAAAGCGGGGGACCGAGCAGCAAUGUUUGGCCUCGCGCCUUUGGAGCGGCCGAUGUCGGAUUAGCUAGUUGGUGGGGUAAAGGCCUACCAAGGCGACGAUCCGUAGCUGGUCUGAGAGGACGACCAGCCACACUGGGACUGAGACACGGCCCAGACUCCUACGGGAGGCAGCAGUGGGGAAUUUUGGACAAUGGGCGCAAGCCUGAUCCAGCAAUGCCGCGUGCGGGAAGAAGGCCUUCGGGUUGUAAACCGCUUUUGGCAGGAACGAAACGGUGUCCGCUAAUACCGGGCGCUAAUGACGGUAUCUGCAGAAUAAGCACCGGCUAACUACGUG